CGGGCCUCCCCUCCGCGCCGUACAGCACUCGGCGACCCCGCCGCAGCAGCUCCUGGACGCAGUCCUCCACCUCGCCGCUCAGUGCCAAGCUGUUAACAAGGAGAUGAUGACUCCUGGAAGACUGGGAGAUAGUCUAAUCUUUGUUUAUCUCAAGCAUCAGAAAGAAAUCCUGUCCAGGACCUUCCAUACUGACCUGAAUAACACAAGAGGAGCCUCGAAGCCUCAGGGAUGAAUGUUGCUUGAGCCCAAGAUUCCAAGACCCGUGGUUACGUGAUGUUGCCUUGUCUGCCAGUGGUGGAAAAGUCAUUAUUUGCACACAAUUUCAGCUGGUGCUGCUGUCCUGUGCAUGAGGGCUAGCAGGCUGUUUCUGCUCACAGGAGAGGCUGUCUGCUACCUUCCACAGGAAUCACAGACUGCCCCACACAUUUAAUGACUGCCCCACACCACCCCUACUCCAAGAAGUUAAGAAAAAAAAAUGGGGAGGGCAGGGGGUGAAAUGGAAGUGCAACAGGUUGCAAAAUGCUGAGCAUCUGAUAAACAAAAUACAAAUAUAAUACAAAAUACAAAGGAUGGAGGAGGCAAAGAGACAGCUGGAGUGCCAGUCAGCCUGUUUGGAAUGGUGUGGAGAGUGGAGAGCUUUCUGACAGCAGUGAGGAAGAAAGGCCAGGGCAUGGCUCCUUGACGUUUCUCUGUCUCAUCCAAAUGGGUGUGUAGCUUCAGCACUGCAUUGUUAGCUGAUCAGAAGCCAUUUGAGUUGUGAGCAGGGUUCCCCCAAUGGCAAAUGGAAGAUCAGGCUAGAGAAAAGUCUCUUGGCAUUUAAAUGGAGUUGUACAUUCUGGAACUGUAAGACCUGGCUGUCGUUCCAGUAAUGCAUUUCAAGAGCUGAUAAAAGCUCCUGGCAUUGUAAUGAUCUUGAGUGAGCACCAGAUCACCAGUUAUCCCGAGGCAGGGAAGUGUCAUUUUCAUUACCCACACUUUAUGUAUAUGUGUAUGUACCUUAAGAGGAAGAAUAUAUAUUUAAACAUUUUUUUUUCUUCCUCUCAAGCUUUACAAAUCUCAUUUGAAACUUCUGUUUGAUUUAUCCCCCAGGCUAGGUCUAUAAGUGCUGCAUGAAUUUGUUUUUCUGCUCUGUUUCAAGUAAAUUUAGAACUGUAUACAUAUUUGUGUUCAUACAUCACAUUCUUAUUAAUGAGCACAAUAUAAUUGUUGGUUGUAUUGACUUUUGUUGCUGUGGAUGUUUUUAAAAGAUACUUUAAAGACUUUGCUGGAGUUUGCAUGUGCUUCAGAAAUUAAAUUUAGUCUGUGAUUUUAUUACCCUUUUUAUUUAAUUUAUCUUAACUGUUGCUUUCAAGCUGUGAACCAGCUGUUGACUUUGAAAAAACAUUGUUCAAUUUGAAAGGAGCAUUUUAAAGCUUAAUGUAAUGGCUGUAAGUAAUCACUACAGCAAUUAUAUUCUCUGGUGUUGUGCGUCACUAUAAUAAUGUUGGAGGUUGUGUGAAAAUGCAGGAGAGAAACACA